GGCUCAGAACGAACGCUGGCGGCGUGCCUAACACAUGCAAGUCGAGCGAGAAAGUCCGCAAGGAUGAGUAAAGCGGCGCACGGGUGCGUAACACGUGGGUAAUCUGCCCUGGAGCCCGGAAUAACUCCCCGAAAGGGGUGCUAAUGCCGGAUGAGACCACGGGAGCUCCGGCUCUCGCGGGAAAAGGUGGCCUCUGUACACAAGCUAUCACUCCAGGAUGAGCCCGCGGCCCAUCAGCUCGUUGGCGGGGUAACGGCCCACCAAGGCGACGACGGGUAGCUGGUCUGAGAGGACGAUCAGCCACACUGGAACUGAGACACGGUCCAGACUCCUACGGGAGGCAGCAGUGGGGAAUCUUGCGCAAUGGGCGAAAGCCUGACGCAGCAACGCCGCGUGUGUGAUGAAGGUCUUCGGAUCGUAAAGCACUGUCGGGAGGGAAGAACAGGCCCGUAGCGAACAGCUGCGGGCUUUGACGGUACCUCCAAAGGAAGCACCGGCUAACUCUGUGCCAGCAGCCGCGGUAAUACAGAGGGUGCAAGCGUUGUUCGGAAUUAUUGGGCGUAAAGCGCGUGUAGGCGGCCCCGCAAGUUGGGUGUGAAAGCCCUCGGCUCAACCGAGGAAGUGCGCCCAAAACUACGAGGCUUGAGUACCGGAGAGGAUGGCGGAAUACCCGGUGUAGAGGUGAAAUUCGUAGAUAUCGGGUGGAACACCAGCGGCGAAGGCGGCCAUCUGGACGGAUACUGACGCUGAGACGCGAAAGCGUGGGGAGCAAACAGGAUUAGAUACCCUGGUAGUCCACGCCGUAAACGAUGAGCGCUAGGUGUUGUGGGUGUUGACCCCCGCAGUGCCGCAGCUAACGCAUUAAGCGCUCCGCCCUGGGAAGUACG
rnacentral:rRNA from 1 species